UACGUAGGGUGCAAGCGUUGUCCGGAAUUAUUGGGCGUAAAGAGCUCGUAGGCGGUCUGUCGCGUCGGAUGUGAAAAUCCAGGGCUCAACCCUGGACCUGCAUUCGAUACGGGCAGACUAGAGUUCGGUAGGGGAGACUGGAAUUCCUGGUGUAGCGGUGAAAUGCGCAGAUAUCAGGAGGAACACCGGUGGCGAAGGCGGGUCUCUGGGCCGAAACUGACGCUGAGGAGCGGAAGCGUGGGGAGCGAACAGG
rnacentral:rRNA from 1 species